rnacentral:rRNA from 1 species
AACGCUAGCUACAGGCUUAACACAUGCAAGUCGAGGGGCAGCAUGGACCCAGCUUUGCUGGGUUUGAUGGCGACCGGCGCACGGGUGAGUAACGCGUAUCCAACCUGCCCUUUACUCCGGGAUAGUCUCCUGAAAGGGAGUUUAAUACCGGAUGUGUUUGUCCUUCCGCAUGGGAGCGACAAAUAAAGAUUAAUUGGUAAAGGAUGGGGAUGCGUCCCAUUAGCUUGUUGGCGGGGUAACGGCCCACCAAGGCGACGAUGGGUAGGGGUUCUGAGAGGAAGGUCCCCCACAUUGGAACUGAGACACGGUCCAAACUCCUACGGGAGGCAGCAGUGAGGAAUAUUGGUCAAUGGGCGGGAGCCUGAACCAGCCAAGUAGCGUGAAGGACGACGGCCCUACGGGUUGUAAACUUCUUUUAUAAGGGAAUAAAGUUCGCCACGUGUGGUGUUUUGUAUGUACCUUAUGAAUAAGCAUCGGCUAAUUCCGUGCCAGCAGCCGCGGUAAUACGGAAGAUGCGAGCGUUAUCCGGAUUUAUUGGGUUUAAAGGGAGCGUAGGCGGGCUUUUAAGUCAGCGGUCAAAUGUCGUGGCUCAACCAUGUCAAGCCGUUGAAACUGUAAGCCUUGAGUCUGCACAGGGCACAUGGAAUUCGUGGUGUAGCGGUGAAAUGCUUAGAUAUCACGAAGAACUCCGAUUG